rnacentral:rRNA from 1 species
UGGGGGAUAUUGCACAAUGGGGGAAACCCUGAUGCAGCAACGCCGCGUGAAGGAAGAAGGUCUUCGGAUUGUAAACUUUUGUCCUCAGGGAAGAUAAUGACGGUACCUGAGGAGGAAGCUCCGGCUAACUACGUGCCAGCAGCCGCGGUAAUACGUAGGGAGCGAGCGUUGUCCGGAUUUACUGGGUGUAAAGGGUGCGUAGGCGGAUAGACAAGUCAGUGGUGAAAACUAUGGGCUUAACCCAUAGAGUGCCAUUGAAACUGCCUAUCUUGAGUGGAGUAGAGGCAGGCGGAAUUCCCGGUG